AUGUCCGGAGGAUCAGCUAGGAGCCUGGGCAAGGGAAGCGCGCCCCCCGGGCCCAUCCCUGAGGGCCUGAUCAGUGUCUACAGCAUGAGGUUCUGCCUGUAUGCCUAGAGCACUCGCCUGGUCCUGACCACGAAGGGUAUCCGGCAUGAAGUUAUCAACAUAAAUCUGAAAAAUAAGCCUGAGUGGUUCUUCAAGAAGAAUCCCUCAGGCCUGGUGCCGGUUCUGGAAACCAGUCAGGGUCAAUUGAUCUGUGAAUCUGCCAUCACUUGUGAGUACCUGGAUGAAGCAUAUCCAGAGAAGAAGCUGUUGCCAGGCAACCCCUCUGAGAAAGCUUGCCAAAAGAUGGUCUUUGAGUCCUUUUCUAAGGUACCACCUUUGAUAUCGAGGAUUCUUAGAACACAAAAUAAGGAAGACUGCUCUGGCUUAAAAGAAGAAUUGCAUAAAGAAAUCACCAAGCUAGAGGAGGUUCUGACUGGUAAAAAGACAACCUUCUUUGGUGGCAAUUCUCUUUUUAUGAUUGAUUACCUCAUCUGGCCCUGGUUUGAACGGCUGGAAGCUCUGGAGUUGAAUGAGCAUGUAGACCACACUCCAGCUCUUAAGCUGUGGAUGGCAGCCAUGAAGAAGGAUCCCACAGUAUCAUCUCUCCUCACUGACGUGAAGACCUUUCAAGGUUUCUUCAACCUCUACUUGCAGAACAGCCCUGAGGCUUGUGACUAUGGUCUCUGAUGGGGACAA